GGCGGCGGGUGAGUAACGCGUGGGUAACCUGCCUCAUACAGGGGGAUAACAGUUAGAAAUGCUGCUAAUACCGCAUAAGACCACAGCACCGCAUGGUGCAGGGGUAAAAACUCCGGUGGUAUGAGAUGGACCCGCGUCUGAUUAGCUAGUUGGUGGGGUAACGGCCUACCAAGGCGACGAUCAGUAGCCGACCUGAGAGGGUGACCGGCCACAUUGGGACUGAGACACGGCCCAA
rnacentral:rRNA from 1 species